UGUUUUCAUAGUUUGCUUUCUUCUUUUUGGCCCAAUGAAAGAAUAAAUGGAAAUGCCACACUAGUUUUUUUUAUGCUUGUUGUCUAAAUAAAAAGAAAACGAGAAAACCAAAGUUAAGUAACAGUCCAAUUUUGGUUUGUGCAAAUCCCUUUUUGUCAUUAUUCCAUUUUCUUUUUCAUUCAGAAGAAUGAAAAACAAAACAGACACAUGACCCAGUAGUAAAUCGAGAUAUGGAUUGAAAGUUUGUUUUUGUUUUUUACAAAUUUAAUUCCGUGUGUAUCUUCCAAAUUACAUUUCUUUAAAUUGAAAAGCCCCUUUUUGUGUUUCCUUGCUGAGCUGCAGAAACACUAUUUUGUACAAAAAUAGUGUAACUUGGAAGAUACAUAACUACAGUAACUGACUGUUACGCCUCAUAUUAGUU